AGCAGGAUUCCGUGCUAAAAUCGAAGAAUUCAGUCAACAACAGUAGGCAUACAUCUGUCACUGAAUACACCGGUGAAACAGUUGUUCAAACAAGAUAUUCGUCCGUGAAAUAUAAGGCUGUUACGUUACUAUUCUCACAAAAUUUGUCAUUAUGUGUGAAAGCAACAGUGCAUGGGAUAUCUGACGAAAUAGAAUGAAGUACACAAUUACUAACAUAUCAUGGGAUUCCUGUUAAUAACCAACGAAACGGCACGAGAUUAAUUCAGAAGAUUCAGGCUAUAUGUUAGAGAACUGCAGAAAUUAAUGCUUCAACUAGUGCAAAUAUCAACUUCACUCUAAUGAGUUUCCCAUAACCUGUGGAAGCCAAUAUCUGAUACUGCAAUGUCACAAAGAAAAGGGUUGUCGAGUGGCGGGCGAAAGCAUCGAGGACAUAAUUACAUCCACAAAAAUGAAAUUCUGGUCGGUGAUAAGGGCCGCGAAGUUGUGGAGAGUAUAAAUGACAAUUCAUUGGUAAUAAAACAUUUUCGUGAAUAUAGUGCUGAGUUAGAUCGCAAACGUGACCGAUAUGAAGCAAUUAUAAAACUGAGUCGUGAUGUGACCAUAGAAAGUAAAAGGAUAAUCUUUCUCUUGCAUACUUUCGAUAAAGAAAGCAAGAGAGAAACCAUCCUGGGCGAAGCAAAGACACGGCUUGAUACUCUUGCCAAGUCAUUAUUCAAGAGCAUUGCCCAAGAAUUGGAUGGACAAAAUCCAUAUCAGUACCUCCGUGCUUAUACUGCUGGAAUACAAGAGUACAUAGAGGCUAUAACCUUUUACCAAUAUCUUAAGGGUGACGAGUUGGACGAUUGGACAAACUUGGAGAGAUCCUUAACUUACAUGAUUCCUGUAAAAGCCGGAGAUAAUACAGAUAAUAAAGAGACUCCUGGAGAACUUGCAGAAAUUAAGACAAUGCUAACUCCACAUGAGUAUAUUUUGGGCAUUGCCGACUUAACCGGAGAGCUAAUGCGAAAAUGUAUCAAUAACUUGGGCACAGGAGAUAUAGCGAGCUGCUUCCAGACUUGCAGUUUUGUCAGAAGCAUAUACAUAGGAUUUCUGGGAUGCAUGGGCUGUUCAGGAAAAGAGAUCAAUCGAAAACUCUAUACUCUAAAGCAGAGUUUAGCAAAAAUGGAAAAUGUUUGUUACACCAUUAAAAUGCGAGGUUCGGAGAUACCUAAACACAUGCUAGCUGAUAUGGCAAUCGGAGCUGCUAGCGAAUAUGGAGCUGAAGAUGACGAAGGCUACCAUCCAUUUUGAAGGGUUAAAAGCACUUUUCUUUUGUAAAGCUUAAUGAAGUAUUUCGAUAUGAUAUCUAGACAAUGGAUCUGCGUAAUGAACAUAAAAAUAAUCCAUUAAUACAGACAAGAAUGAUCACUA
rnacentral:misc_RNA from 1 species